ensembl:snoRNA SNORD48 small nucleolar RNA, C/D box 48
GGUAAUGAUGAACCCAGGUGACUCCGAGUGUCUCGCUGACGCCAUCACCGCAGCGCGCUGACC